rfam:Macaca mulatta chromosome X, whole genome shotgun sequence.
CCAGGGUGAGGUAGUAAGUUGUAUUGUUGUGGGGUAGGGAUAUUAGGCCCCAAUUAGAAGAUAACUAUACAACUUACUACUUUCCCUGG